rnacentral:rRNA from 1 species
AAAAAAGCUACAAAGGGCGCACGGCGGAUGCCUUGGCACCAAGAGGCGAUGAAGGACGUGGUUAGCUGCGAAAAGCUUCGGUGAGCUGCUUAGCAAGCUUUGACCCGGAGAUGUCCGAAUGGGGAAACCCCCUCUUAGGAGGAUGCCUAAGUGAAUACAUAGCUUAGGUAGGCGAACGCAGGGAACUGAAACAUCUAAGUACCUGCAGGAAUAGAAAUCAAAUCAGAGAUACCGGUAGUAGCGGCGAGCGAACCCGGUUCAGCCUAAACCGUAAGGAAUUUCUUUACGGGGUCGUGGGGCUGCUCACCACGGAGUGGAAAGUUAGACGAACGGUAUGGAAAGGCCGGUCAAAGAGGGUGACAACCCCGUAGUCGAAAACUAGAAACUUCAGAGCAGUACCCGAGUAGGGCGGGACACGUGUUAUCCUGUCUGAAUCUGGGAGGACCAUCUUCCAAGGCUAAAUACUCCUUGGUGACCGAUAGCGUACUAGUACCGUGAGGGAAAGGUGAAAAGAACCCCGUCGAGGGGAGUGAAAUAGAACUGAAACCGUGUGCCUACAAGCAGUUGGAGCAUCCUCGUGAUGUGACAGCGUGCCUUUUGCAUAAUGAGCUAGCGAGUUUGUCUUACGAGCAAGGUUAAGUUGCGCAGCAACGAAGCCGUAGUGAGAGCGAGCCUGAAUAGGGCGUUAAGUUCGUAGGAUAAGACCCGAAACCCGGUGAUCUAUCCAUGGCCAGGUUGAAGCUGAGGUAACACUUAGUGGAGGACCGAACCCGUUGACGUUGAAAAGUCUUGGGAUGAGCUGUGGAUCGGAGUGAAAGGCUAAUCAAACUGGGUGAUAGCUGGUUCUCGUCGAAAUAUAUUUAGGUAUAGCCUCAUGCGUUUCUUAACGGGGGUAGAGCACUGAUUGGGCUAGGGGUCCUACCAGAUUACCAAACCCACUCAAACUCCGAAUACCGUUACAGUUAUAAAAUGGGAGUCAGACUGCGGGAGAUAAGUUCCGUAGUCAAGAGGGAAAGAGCCCAGACCAUCAGCUAAGGUCCCCAAGACAACACUAAGUGGAAAACGAUGUGGAGAUGCACAGACAGCCAGGAGGUUGGCUUAGAAGCAGCCAUCCUUUAAAGAAAGCGUAACAGCUCACUGGUCAAGUGUUUUUGCGCGGAAGAUUUAACGGGGCUUAAGUGUUGCACCGAAGCUAUGGGCUCAGACGUAAGUCUGAGCGGUAGACGAGUAUUGUCGCAACCGUUGAAGGCGUCUGGUGAUGGACGUUGGAGGAACGACAAGAGCUUAUGCUAGCAUUAGUAGCGAUAAAGCAUGUGAAAAACAUGCUCGCCGAAAACCUAAGGUUUCCUGGGAAAGGGUUUUCCACCCAGGGUAAGUCGGCACCUAAGGCGAGGCCGAAAGGCGUAGUCGAUGGACAACAGGUUUAUAUUCCUGUACCAAACAGUGGAGUGAUGCAGGGGUGAAGAAAGAUAGCCAUGCUGGAUAUUGGAUAUUCCAGUCUAAGCGUGUAGGGAGUCAAAUUUGGCAAAUCCGGUUUGACAAUCCUGAGACGUGAUGGGGAGGGCCUCGGCCCAGAAGAUGGUGACUCUCUGCUUACAAGAAAAGCUGCUAAGCGUUGAAGCUGUUUGACCGUACCCGAAACCGACACAGGUAGGUAAGAAGAGUAUUCUAAGGCGUAUGAGUGAAACAUGGUUAAGGAACUCGGCAAAAUGACACCGUAACUUCGGGAUAAGGUGUGCCAGGCUGGUGAAAACCCUCGCGGUUGGAGCUGGUUCUGGUUGCAGAGAAGAGAGGGUAGCGACUGUUUACCAAAAACAUAGCACUACGCAAAGUCGCAAGACGACGUAUGUGGUGUGACGCCUGCCCAGUGCUGGAAGGUUAAAGGGAGGAGUCAGCGUAAGCGAAGCUUCGAACUGAAGCCCCAGUAAACGGCGGCCGUAACUAUAACGGUCCUAAGGUAGCGAAAUUCCUUGUCGGGUAAGUUCCGACCUGCACGAAUGGCGUAACGACUUCCCUGCUGUCUCAACCAUGUGCUCAGCGAAUUUGAAAACCGCGUGCAGAUGCGCGGUACCCGCAGCAAGACGGAAAGACCCCGUGAACCUUUACUAUAGCUUGACACUGUUAUUUUGAACAUUUUGUGUAGCAUAGGUGGGAGACGUUGAUAUAGCGCCGCUAGGUGCUAUGGAGUCGUCAGUGAAAUACCACCCUGAAUGUUUGAGAUAUCUAACCUAGCUCCGUGAUCCGGAGCAGGGACCGUGUCUGGUGGGUAGUUUGACUGGGGCGGUCGCCUCCUAAAGUGUAACGGAGGCGCGCAAAGGUUCCCUCAGGCCGGAUGGAAAUCGGUCGUAGAGUGCAAAGGCAUAAGGGAGCUUAACUGCGAGACCGACAGGUCAAGCAGAUACGAAAGUAGGCCUUAGUGACCCGGUGGCUCCGAAUGGAAGGGCCAUCGCUCAACGGAUAAAAGGUACUCCGGGGAUAACAGGCUGAUCUCCUCCAAGAGUUCACAUCGACGAGGAGGUUUGGCACCUCGAUGUCGGCUCAUCACAUCCUGGGGCUGAAGCAGGUCCCAAGGGUUUGGCUGUUCGCCAAUUAAAGUGGUACGCGAGCUGGGUUCAGAACGUCGUGAGACAGUUCGGUCCCUAUCUGCUGUGGGCGCAAGAAAUUUGACGGGAUCUGUCCUUAGUACGAGAGGACCGGGAUGGACAUACCGCUGGUGUACCAGUUGUUUCGCCAGAAGCACCGCUGGGUAGCUACGUAUGGAACGGAUAACCGCUGAAAGCAUCUAAGUGGGAAGCCGACCCAAAGAUAAGAUUUCUCUGGCUUUACGCCCUAAAGACCCGUUCGAGACGAGGACGUUGAUAGGCGCGAGGUGGAAGUGCAGUAAUGCAUGGAGCUGACGCGUACUAAUCGGUCGUGAGGCUUUUUUCG